CCUACGGGAGGCAGCAGUGAGGAAUAUUGGUCAAUGGGCGCGACCCUGAACCAGCCAAGUCGCGUGAGGGAAGACGGUCCUAUGGAUUGUAAACCUCUUUUGUCGGGGAGCAAAAGACGCCACGCGUGGCGUUCCGAGAGUAACCGAAGAAAAAGCAUCGGCUAACUCCGUGCCUGCAGCCGCGGUAAUACGGAGGAUGCCAACGUUAUCCGGAGUUAUUGGGUUAAACGGGUGGGCAGGCGGAAGAUCAAGUCAGCGGUAAAAUUGAGAGGCUCAACCUCUUCGAGCCGUUGAAACUGGUUAUCUUGAGUGAGUGAGAGGUAUGCGGAAUGCGUGGUGUAGCGGUGAAAUGCAUAGAUAUCACGCAGAACUCCGAUUGCGAAGGCAGCAUACCGGCGCUCAACUGACGCUCAGGCACGAAAGUGUGGGUAUCGAACAGGAUUAGAUACCCCUGUAGUC
rnacentral:rRNA from 1 species